UGAAUUGUUUCUGAUUGACAGGCUUAUUAUAUAUUGGACGAAAUUCUAAUCGCUGGUGAACUUCAAGAAUCGAGCAAGAAAACCGUUGCUCGUUUAAUAGCUGCCCAGGUAUUGCUGUUUUACAGUUUUAUACUUAAAUACAUCUAUAUAAGAAUUUACAGCUGUCUCCAGUCUUUAUUUCCAUUGAUUUGAAAUAAGGCCUGACCUCAGAAUUUUGAGUCCCUAGACUACUAAUUAUAGUUCAUUCAUUCAGUCUCUUUUGUGACAUGAUUGAUUGAAGAUAAGAUUUAAUCAAUCUAAGUUUUGAAAAACUUCUUUCGACGGUGACAACGAUGACAUGAAUAGCCAGUGAUACUUUUUAAGCAAUCCAAACAUUUGCAAAACAACAAUUCAUUCUCAAUGUAAUCUAAAACAUCAAUUGCUCCAUUAGUUUUAGUAGGUAUCACUUCUCUUUUGACUUUCAACUUAGAAAAUGAUUUUAUUCCAUCAAUGUCAGAAAUCAUGUUAUGCUUCAAGUCAUUUUCAAGGUUAAUGUAAGAACACUGCAAACUAGUAAAAUAGAUAUAUUUAAGUUUUUUUUCAAAUCGAAUAAAAAUUCAAAAAUAUCAUCAUAUUUUGGAAAUUGUUCAAAUCUAUUUUGAAGUGAUGAUAGAGCUUUUGAUCUAUUGUAUAUAUGAAAUAAUUUACUCUGAAAGAUUCUUCAACUAUUUAUGUCAUUUCUUCACAAGAAGUUCAUAAAAUUGCUUCUUUAUGUGUACAACUCGUUUUUCACAAAAUAUUGGUUCAAUUUAUAUUUCACUUGCUAUUUCUUUUGCAUCAAUAUUGGCCAAUUCAAGCCUAUCUUUUAAAAAAUGAAAUGAGCAAUUAUAAAUGGUCUAUAACAACAUCAAUAUGCAUGUCUUCUAUUUGCAAGUGUUUGCUUUACCUUGUUAACAAUAUUCAACACUUCAUACCAAAUAACCAUCCCAAAUAAGAAUUAAAAAUUCUCAAUUUCAUAUGUUGUCGCACAUUCUAUCUCACUUCUUGUUUUAGGAUCAUAAAUACUUGUCAAUUGAUAUAGAGCAUUUUACAUUUAAAUGGCAUUUGUGAUAAGGGUUUAAGGGUUAAGUUGUAACGACCUGUCUUGUAUGCCGAAACUGUUAUAUCAUACGUACUGCCCGCUUUAAAUGAACAUUUGUCCACUUAACUCCUCACGGUUUUCUAUCGCGUCAUCGAGGAUUCGAAUCCAAAACAUCUGUCUAAUGAGAGAUUUAAGUUGAAUUUUAGUACCAACUAGACAAGGCAACUUAAAAUGCGAGUUCAAGGCGAUCAGAGGUGAAUUGUGCUUGCGUAGGUGAAAAAGGAAGAAUAAAUUAUGUAGUUAAGGAAUUUAAUAAUGUUCAUUGUAUUUUUCUUAAAACUAAUUUUAAAUUCUCGCAUGUUAAGAAAAAAAUUAUGUUUUUCUUUUGUUUAUGAAUUAUUCUUUUACUAUACAUGUAUAAUGAUUCUAAAGGUAAAAAUUUGGGGUGUUACAUAAGUCAUUUACAUUAUCUUUGAAAUUUUUCAUCGUUUACUAGAUGAUGAAAAGAAAGCGCUUGUAUGUUGCACCAUUUCGAAGAAAGAUUUAGCUUUUGAACGAUAAGUUGUCAUAUCAUAUAUUGUAAGAUCAAGACUAUGGUGCCAACAAGAGUGUAAAAUGCUCUAGGCUUUACUUGUAGUCUAUUUUGCAAUCCUUUAUGUUUUUCUUUCAUGUUAGCGAUGUUAACAUAGUCUUGACCUCUAAUAUCAUUAGUAUCAAGUUCUAAAUUAUUUAAAGCAUCCACAAGUUUAUCAAAUUGUUUCUUCCCAACUAUAUCAUCCACCAAUAAAAAUUCUUUUGCAUUCAUUGGACUUGCUAAAAUACCUACACACCCCAAUAGGACAUUUGUUCUUCAUGACUUGGCUAUGGAGUGCAAUCAAGUAUAACAAGAAAAGUACUUGAUUAAGAUUUUUUGAGUUUCUCAAUAAUUAUUUUCUUAAUUCACUCGCUAACAUACGUAUCAUCUCAUUGUAUUUUAUGCCCAAGAUCAUGAUAAUAAGUCUUCUUUUUUUGUAUUCAGUGAAUUUUCUCUUUCAAUAUAGAAUUAUAGUAUCAUACUCACCAAUAAUUUGAAUUAAGCUUAAGAUGUCACCAUUUUUUGGUAUAUCUUCUCAUUAUCUCCAUGACGUGCUGAAUUAUUUUUUAGCAAGGAUUCUUACCAUAUAUUUCAUUCACAAUAAUACUUGUCUCCAUUGUUCUGUAACUCUAUUUUUUACUGCUCACUUUUAUCAAUUUUUUUACUCUUUUCAAAUCUUAUGUCUAUUUUGAUCCAUCUACUCAUUUUAGUGAUGUGGUUACAAACUACUUCGCGCGUUUAAAAUUUUUACCAAUAUUUUUCCAAUUAUUCACACCAUCAUGGGCCAAUUGAAUUGAUCCCAUCGUUCUUGAAUAACUUACAACAAAAGCAAAAUAUUUUAUCGUAACUUUUGAAUAUAUGAGCCACUUUCUGUUAUACUUCUCUCCAUUAAUCAUCAAACGUAAGGUGCUAAGCAAAAGUGUCUCUUCGCUACAUCUUUCAAAUCACAUUAUUCUCUUGUAGGACCUUUACUACAAUUAAAUUCCUUAAGUUCUAAUUCAUAUUUCCCAAAUUUGCUUGAUCAGUAAGUGGUUCAUUAUCCCUUAUAUUCAUGUUUCCAUCUUUCAUAAUAUCAUCUUCAGCAGAUACUUUUCAAUUCACCAAGUGUUAUUUAUCAAUUGGAUUAUCUCUUAUAUGUUUCAUUAAACCCUCCUUCAGGAACUAUUUUUUCACUAUGCAUUUGUUUAAUGCUAAUAAAAAACUUAUCAAGCGUUCUCUCUUGAGAUUUAAUUAAUUGUUCAACCUUUUUAUUCCUUUUUCUUUUGACACAUCCGAAUUCAAAUAAUCUAGUAGACAUAAUUAUAAGCAAUGAAUAGUAGAACUUGAUUGAUGAGUCUGAAUUAAAAAUAUUGCAAAUUUUGCCAGUGAAGGGAUUUAGCAAUUAGUUUGCAAGAAAUAAUCAAACACCAUUUAAUAUGAGAAUUUAUCGAUCAUUGACCAAUUGAAUAUAUUUAUGUGUCAUGUGAAAACAAUAAUAAAGCAUUUUCCUCUUACACAGCAUACAAAAAAUGAAUUUUCAUUUAAUCAACAAAAUUGACAUUAUUUAGUAUUUCUUGCAAACUGAAUACAAAAGAUAAAAACAAUGAAAAUGGAGGUGAGAAAUGGAUGUGGGUUGGAAAGGAGACCAACAGAAAAAAACAGAGGCAAUUAGUUACAAUGCAUUGGUCCGUUAUGCUGGAAUCGCUAACAAGAAACUGAGAAAAGGGUUAAGGGAUGUCAUCGAUCUAUAAAAUUUCUAUAUUCAAACUAACCUAGGCAAUUGAAUACUAGAAAUGGGUUGUGAGGCCAACUGUGGGAUAGGUCUUUACCUACUAUACUAGUUUAGUAAUUUAGUUUGGAUCUAAUAAGCCUACCAUUUAGUAUAUUUGGGCCCUUUAAAUUUUGAGGCCCCAGACUAUUGUCUAGGUUGCUUUGGCCUAGGGCCAUCAGAGCUUGCAUAAUCUUCUCUUCGAUAGGCUUUACCAAUAGGCUCGACUUUAGGCCAAAGUCACUUAGCAAUGACCUACGGCCUUAAAAUUUGAGGUGCCUAAUAGAAAGCAUAUAUUAGACUUAUUCCGUCAAGGCCUAGAUUAUACAAAAUUAGUGUAGUUGGUAAAGAAAGCGCCUCACCAUCAAUAUUCAAUUGUCCUAUGUUAGUUUGAAUAAGCAAAUUUCAUAUGUCAUCGAUUUUCUCUUGGCCCAUUUCUCAGUUGCUUGCUAGUGAUUCCGACUUUGUCGAUCGACUUGUUUUGGAAUCGCAUCGCAUCUGUUGUUAAUUGACUCAUUUUUUUGAUAGUUUAUCCUUAUCUCUUUCUUGUCUCCCUUUCUGUUGUCUUUAUCCUUUAGUAUUCAACAAGAAAAAUUAAAUAUGUCAAUUUUGUUGAUUAAAUGAAAAUAUUAUCUUCCUUUAUGUUGUAUGGGAGCUCAAAAUACUUUAUUAUUGUUUUUAUAUAUAAAUAUAUUCUAAUUGGUCAUUGAUCGAUUAAUUUCUAUUCUAAAUGGUGUUUAAUUAUUUCUUACUGUUGUUGGAUCAUUUUUGGGGUACUUUUAAUUCGGACUUAUCAACUAGGUUCUAUUACUCCUUGCUUAUAAUUAAUUAUGUCUACUUGAAAAUUUGAAUUUAGAUGUGCCAAAAACACAAAAUAACAAAGUUGAAUAAUUUAUUAAAUUUUAAGAUGGAGCAAUCGAUAAGUUUUUUAGUAGCAAUGAACAACCAAAAAAUAAAGACAUAGUUCAUAAAGGAGAGUUUAAUGAGAAUGAUAUGGAGAUAUGAUGAUUAGAAAAAUAUUGGUGAAAGACUUACAACAUAUCAAGAGAGUUGUGGCCAAGUCACUAAUAUGAGUAGAUGACUCGAAAUGAAAAUACGAUUUGAAAAGAGUGAAAUAGUUGAUUGGUGUGUAGAAACAAAUUAAUAAGAUAAAAGAAAUAUUUAAUAUAAGUAUUAUUGAGAAUCGUAUAUGUGAUGAGAACUCUUGCUGGGAAUAAUUUAGCAUUUUAUAGCAAGAGAAGACAUACCAAGAAAAUAAUAUCUUCUUAAAGCUAAUUCAAAUUAUUGGUAAAUUUGAUCUUGUAAUACGAGAAUAUUUUUGAUGAAUGCAAAAUUAAGAGAUUCGUUAUCAUUAUCUUGGGUACAAAAUUCCAAAGGAGUUGAUGUUUAUGCUAGUUGGUGAGAUCAAGGAAAUAAUUAUUGAGAGACAAAAUAUUGAAGUAAUAAUCUAUUAUACUUAAUUGCACUUCAGAUUUGAAUAAUGAAGAAUAAAUGCCUAUAGUAUUGAGUAGGUAUUUCAACAAGUCAAGCGAAAGUAUAAUACUUUUUAAGAUUUUUAUUGGUAGAUGAUACAUCUAGGAACGAACAUUUUGAAGAAUUUGUAUAUGCUUUGAAUAAUGUAGAACUUGAUAUUGAUGAUUUAAGGGGUUAAGGCCGUGAUAACGGUGAUAACAUGAGAAGAAAACAUGAAGGAAUGUAGAGUAUUAUAAUUAAAUUGUAAAGCACUCUGCACUCCUUGUGGGUGUCAAUAUUCUUAAUCUUACACUUUAAGAUAUGGUAACCUAUUGUUCAAAGCCUAAAUCUUUCUUGAAGUGGUGCAAUAUAAAUACGAUGUAAAUACGUUGGAAAAGCCAUUGUGGAAGAACUAGUGCAAUAAGAUUCCAAACUACACAAUAGAAAAUGCUCUACUUCAACCGAUAAGUGUUGUUGAUCCUAAGAUAAAAAGUGAGGAGUAUGUUUACUAAUAUAGAAAUUGAGAAUUUUGAAUUCGUACUAGGGAUGGUAAUUUGGUAUGAAAUGUUAAAUAAUGUUGAUGGGGGUAGAACUAUAUUUUUAGUUGAAUGUUUUAAAGGAAAUGAUAAUUACAAAAACUAAUGGCGUAGUUCAUACGUUAGAUUACAUCAAGAGAAUGAAUUUUUGUUUUGCAAAUGCUUGGUUGCACAUAGAGUAUUAUUGACUAUUUAUGUCAUCAUUGCAUGUGCAAAAAGAAGUUUUUCAAAGUUGAUUAAGUCUUAUUUUCGAUCAACUAUGUAACAAGGAUGAUUGAAUAGAUUAGCUUAGAUGUCUGUAAAAAAUUGAUUUGAGUCGUUUGAUUAUUAAUUUUACAUCUAAAAAUGUGAGAAGACUAAAAAAUUUGAAGAGAUUAGCUUAGAUAUCUAUGAAAAAUGCUAGUCUAAUCCCUUUGGUUGUGAGAGAGAUUAUUUUGCUACUUUUAUCUUUCGAAUUGUACGGAGUCUUCAUUUACAUACAUACAUACAUACAUACAUACAUACAUACAUAUAUAUAUAUAUAUAUAUAUAUUUAUUUAUAUAUAUAAUUAAAAUAUUUAUGUAUUUCUGCAUUUGUAGAAGAAAAAAAAUAUGUUUAGAGGUCUCAUAAUAUUUAGUUGCUUUAGUUCUCAAAAUUCUCAGGCUUGUUUACCAAUAACAAAGAGAUAAUUAUAUAACAGAUUGAGGACCAAAGAAUUGCAUAUAACUUUGAGAAGUGGCAAAGUGGAUAUUAUUGAGUUUGAUAUUGAAGGUGACAUGAAUUCUUUGAUUAGUUACAAUGGAAGUCUGGUUUUGCUCGACGAGAAAAAUGAAUUACAGGAAAACUGAUGUUUAGUGGAAUGACAUCUAGAUGAAAACCUAUGUGCACUAUUCUAGUUGAUAAUCGUCCACUCUCUGUACAUUUUUUUGAUGAAAUAAUUGUCCACUCUCUGUACAUUCUUUUGAUGAACUUUCUGAGAAUGGCUGCUGUCUAGUUAAUGUUUAACAAAGUUCUUGAAAGGAGAAAACUAUUCAUGAAUCUUCUCUUAAUAGUCCCAUAGAAGGAUAUUCACUGGAAUAAUUAUUUUUACUAGUGGCAGAAUGUAACAGAUUACAGCUAUAUUUUCUUAAUACAUUUAUAGCAUUUUUUCCCAAGCCUGUACAGAUAUUUACAGAGCUUUCAACUGAUUUACUAUUUAAGAGCCAAGAACUCAUGCUAUAUGUGAUUUUGAACCUGUUUCAGCGGCCAGUUAGGUCCUGUGUCCAAGGUCAUUCCAGUUUGAGAGAGACGUA
rnacentral:lncRNA from 1 species